rnacentral:rRNA from 1 species
GAUGAACGCUAGCGACAGGCUUAACACAUGCAAGUCGAGGGGUAACAGGGUAGCAAUACCGCUGACGACCGGCGCACGGGUGAGUAACGCGUAUGCAACCUGCCUAUAACUGGGGAAUAGCUCCCUGAAAGGGGAAUUAACACCGCAUAACACUAUUGAUUCGCAUGGAUUGGUAGUUAAAUGUAGCGAUACAGGUUAUAGAUGGGCAUGCGUGACAUUAGCUAGUUGGUGAGGUAACGGCUCACCAAGGCUACGAUGUCUAGGGGUUCUGAGAGGAAGGUCCCCCAACUGGUACUGAGACACGGACCAGACUCCUACGGGAGGCAGCAGUGAGGAAUAUUGGUCAAUGGGCGCAAGCCUGAACCAGCCAUGUCGCGUGCAGGAAGAAUGCCCUAUGGGUUGUAAACUGCUUUUAUAGUAGAAGAAACACAUCUACGUGUAGAUGUCUGCCAGUAUACUAUGAAUAAGCAUCGGA